GCACGGCUCAGUAACACGUAGUCAACCUACCCUGGGGACGGGGAUAACCUCGGGAAACUGAGGCUAAACCCCGAUGGGCCAUGGCUCCUGGAAUGGGCUAUGGCUGAAAUCUACAUGGCCCCAGGAUGGGACUGCGGCCGAUCAGGUUGUUGGUGGGGUAAUGGCCCACCAAGCCUAUAACCGGUGCGGGCUCUGAGAGGAGGAGCCCGGAGAUGGGCACUGAGACAAGGGCCCAGGUCCUAUGGGGCGCAGCAGGCGCGAAACCUCCGCAAUGGGCGAAAGCCCGACGGGGUUAGUCCGAGUGGUCCCUGCUGAAGGGGCCUUUUGCCAGCUGUAAAAAGGCUGGCGAAUAAGGGGUGGGCAAGUUUGGUGUCAGCCGCCGCGGUAAUACCAGCACCCCGAGUGGUCGGGACGAUUAUUGGGCCUAAAGCAUCCGUAGCCGGCUUAGCAAGUCCUCCGUUAAAUCCAACGGCUUAACCGUUGGGCUGCGGAGGAUACUGCUAAGCUAGGGGGCGGGAGAGGCGAGGGGUAUUCCCGGGGUAGGGGUAAAAUCCACUGAUCCCGGGAGGACCACCAGUGGCGAAGGCGCCUC
rnacentral:rRNA from 1 species